rnacentral:rRNA from 1 species
GACGUAGGGCGCGAGCGUUGUCCGGAUUUAUUGGGCGUAAAGAGCUCGUAGGCGGCUUGUUGCGUCGACUGUGAAAACCUAGGGCUUAACCCUGGGCUUGCAGUGGAUACGGGCAGACUAGAGGUAGGUAGGGGAGAAUGGAAUUCCUGGUGUAGCGGUGAAAUGCGCAGAUAUCAGGAGGAACACCGGUGGCGAAGGCGGUUCUCUGGGCCUUACCUGACACUGAGGAGCGAAAGCGUGGGGAGCGAACAGG